CGCGGGACGGCCGGCGCGGCCGUGCGUGCCGCUCCCGCCGGGACGGUGCUGAUCACCGGUACGACGCUGGUCUUCGCGUC
rnacentral:tRNA from 1 species